rnacentral:rRNA from 1 species
AUGACAUCAUUCAGUCCAGCCAAGUCAUUUUCUUCUUUUAAUAUUGAUGACCUAGUUAAGCUUGCUGGGUUCUAUCCUCAUGAUUUUGACUUUGAAGAAAUGCACCAACUUCCUUUUCAAUUGAAUCUCUAUAUUAGUGAUGUGAGGAAUGAUGAAAACUUCACAAACUUGAGAAGUCUAGCAGAGUUGUCUAUGAUGCUUGUUAGAACAGGGAGGGCUCUUCGGUAUGAUAUUGUUUACAAACUUCUCAAAUUGGUGCUAGUCCUUCCUAUUGCAACAGCCAGUGUUGAGAGGGUCUUUUCAUCAAUGAACUAUAUAAAAAACAAGCUAAGAAGCAAGAUGGGGCAAAAAUACUUGAAUGAUUUCUUGGUCACAUUCAUUGAAAGGGAUUUCUUCUUGAAAGUUAAGGAUGAGGACAUUAUCACUCAUUUUCAAAGCAUCAAGGAUCGCAAAGUUAUCCUAUGA